GAUGAAGAACGCAGCGAAAUGCGAUAAGUAGUGUGAAUUGCAGAAUUCAGUGAAUCAUCGAAUCUUUGAACGCACAUUGCGCCCUUUGGUAUUCCUUAGGGCAUGCCUGUUCGAGCGUCAUUUAAACCUUCAAGCUAAGCUUGGUGUUGGGUGACUGUCCGCUUCACGGCGGACUCGACUCAAAAUUAUUGGCGGCCGGUACAUUGGCUUCGAGCGCAGCAGAAACGCGAACUCGGGCCCGUCGUAUUGGCUCCCAGAAGCUAUCUUCACAAUUUUGACCUCGGAUCAGGUAGGGAUACCCGCUGAACUUAAGCAUAUCAAUAACGGAGGA
rnacentral:misc_RNA from 1 species